GCCGUAGCGCGGUGGUCCCACCUGACCCCAUGCCGAACUCAGAAGUGAAACGCCGUAGCGCCGAUGGUAGUGUGGGGUCUCCCCAUGCGAGAGUAGGGAACUGCCAGGC
rnacentral:rRNA from 12 species